rnacentral:tRNA from 1 species
AAUAUUAUAGUUUAUUUAAAAUAUUAAAUUGCAAGUUUAAAGAUAUAUUUUUAAUAUUU